GCCUUCGUGGUGUAGUGGUCAGCACGCUCGGCGCGUAUUCGAGAGGUCCACGGUUCGAGUCCCGGCGAGGGCA
rnacentral:tRNA from 1 species